UACGUAGGGAGCAAGCGUUGUCCGGAAUCAUUGGGCGUAAAGCGCGCGUAGGCGGCCCUGUAAGUCCGUUGUGAAAGUCAAAGGCUCAACCUUUGAAAGCCGAUGGAUACUGCAGGGCUAGAGUCCGGAAGAGGCGAGUGGAAUUCCUGGUGUAGCGGUGGAAUGCGCAGAUAUCAGGAGGAACACCAAUAGCGAAGGCAGCUCGCUGGGACGGUACUGACGCUAAGGCGCGAAAGCGUGGGGAGCGAACGGG
rnacentral:rRNA from 1 species